GAUGAACGCUGGCGGCGUGCCUAACACAUGCAGGUCGAACGGAGAUUCCGGACGGAAGUUUUCGGAUGGAAGCCUGUAAUUCUUAGUGGCGGACGGGUGAGUAACGCGUGGGCAACCUGCCCUAUACAGGGGGAUAGCAGCUGGAAACGGCUGGUAAGACCGCAUAAGUCGGUUAAAUCGCAUGAUUUGAUCGGGAAAUGAGCAAUCAGGUAUAGGAUGGGCCCGCGUCCGAUUAGCCAGUUGGCAGGGUAAAAGCCUACCAAAGCGACGAUCGGUAGCCGGACUGAGAGGUCGGACGGCCACAUUGGGACUGAGACACGGCCCAAACUCCUACGGGAGGCAGCAGUGGGGGAUAUUGCACAAUGGAGGAAACUCUGAUGCAGCGACGCCGCGUGAGUGAAGAAGUAUUUCGGUAUGUAAAGCUCUAUCAGCAGGGAAGAUGAUGACGGUACCUGACUAAGAAGCCCCGGCUAACUACGUG
rnacentral:rRNA from 1 species